AGUGAACGCUGGCGCUAGGCCUAACACAUGCAAGUCGAACGGCAGCACAGUAAGAGCUUGCUCUUACGGGUGGCGAGUGGCGGACGGGUGAGGAAUACAUCGGAAUCUACUUUUUUGUGGGGGAUAACGUAGGGAAACUUACGCUAAUACCGCAUACGACCUACGGGUGAAAGCAGGGGAUCUUCGGACCUUGCGCGAUUGAAUGAGCCGAUGUCGGAUUAGCUAGUUGGCGGGGUAAAGGCCCACCAAGGCGACGAUCCGUAGCUGGUCUGAGAGGAUGAUCAGCCACACUGGAACUGAGACACGGUCCAGACUCCUACGGGAGGCAGCAGUGGGGAAUAUUGGACAAUGGGCGCAAGCCUGAUCCAGCCAUACCGCGUGGGUGAAGAAGGCCUUCGGGUUGUAAAGCCCUUUUGUUGGGAAAGAAAAGCAGCAGGUUAAUACCCCGCUGUUCUGACGGUACCCAAAGAAUAAGCACCGGCUAACUUCGUG
rnacentral:rRNA from 1 species